CGAGACUCAGCAGAGCUGUUGCAUUAUGUUUCUUUAUUGAACAUAACGACGGCCUGAGGCGGAGGAAGCACUCGCAGCUUUUACUAAUGUGGCUGUACAAGUGCAUUAACAGAAAUGUACUCAUAGAACCAAAGUAUCACCUGCCUCACGUGUCUCUGCCUCUCCUCACUCUGAUCUACACACUCAGGUAAUACCUCCCCAGUCCUAGUCCUCUGCAACAUCUUUUCAAGACAAUAUUCAGGGAGAAGAUAAACUUCAAGUACAUCCACUGACCAGGGAUCAGUUCACAAUCACUUUGAUCUCUGCAUGAUGUGAGGUGAAGAGUUAAAACAUGUGGCAGCUGAUGAUUAAAUCGGUGACCCCGCGUUGUGUCAGCUGAGGCAAGAUGUAGCAAACACUUGAGUCAGAAACACUUUGGUGACAGAACUCCCACCUGUUGGCAGAUUUACAUGAGGCUUAACCUUCUGUCCAACAGAGACACUCAGGACAAGAUGAGGACUUAGUUGUCUACAUCAGGAAGAUAACAUGCAGAGCAUCCUGCAGAAUGAAAAAUGAAACUCCACCUGAGACAGAGGAAAUGAAGAAGAUGGAUUCUUCGCUUCUGUCUGGUCCCUCAAAGGUGUGACUUUCCUGCCGCUGCAGGACUGGACUCACCUACAUGCCGUACUCGUACCCUGCUGUCUUGUUGAUGCAGCUGAGGAUUUAUGAAUGAAACAAAUGAACCUCUUGGGGUCAUCUCAGCACAGCUCAUCAUCUUCAUCAGCGUCUCCCCAGGACUGAACAAAGAGGAGCAACUUUCAGCCCCUAGAGGGAGACAAACUCCACCAGCUCAUCAGGUCUGCUCUGAGUUUUUUUUAAUCUCUCUCUUUACAGAGACAAGAUUGUUUCAGUUCAAUAUGUCUGAAUGUCUU